GUGAUUGACAACAGUGAAAUGAUAAAGACGCCAAAAGGUCAUAUAACAGUGGAACUCUUCAAGGACGGUUCUCCAAAAAUCGUUGAUAGAUUCCUUGACUUGUGUCAAAAAGGAUUCUUUAAAGGGAUGGCAUUGAGUCAUGUGAUAAAAAACUACGUGAUUCAUGGAGGAAACUCCCAAGGGAUUGGAAUAGCUGAUGCAAAGCCAACGUUAAUGAGUGAAUAAUAUAUCUAGUUUGGCCUAUUACAAUCUCUAAACAAAAUGGUUUUCGUUCAAACAUUU